AAUCCAUCAAAUGGAAUCCUGGAGCCACCUCUUGAUGCUAAUAUUCUGGCCAAGAUCAGUAACAAAGAUAUAAUGUAAUCUGGUUUAACUAACCCUAAAGCUAGCUCAUCUCUGUGCAAUCUCAUAUAGGGCCCUAUUCAGGUGUGUCACAAUUAUGGUAGUAGCUAUAUGUGUCAUCUUUCUUCAAUUGUGUCUGUAAUGGUUUCAUGAACUGGAGUUCCAGGUUCUGUUGUAGAGAACCCUUCAGCAGCAGGGGAUGCUCCUAGUCCGUCGGAAAUUCUGAUUUCUGGGAUUUGCAAAGGAAGGUCAGGCAAUAUCUCAGGAGAAGCUUCACUUGCUGCGAGCAAUUUAGGUGCAUUGCUUUCAGAUGGCUUUUCUGACAUAGAAUUAGAGUUGUCUUUCUCUUCAUCAAAGACUUUUGCAAUUGCUGUAAGCUUCUGCCAUAUUGAAUCAUCAGUGGCUAAGAUUUCUCUAUUCUGAUUAAGGAAGUUGAGGAAGAAUAGGAGAAGAGCGAAGCCUGCUGAUACACCAGCUAUGAGGAAAAGUCCCUUAAACCUAUCUAACGUGAGGCUAUCAGAUGUUAUAGCCGUUUCAUCUUUCUGUGGACAAUCUGUUUCAUUCCCAAACCAUUUCUGUAUUAUGUUAUUCAUGAACUCUCCUUCCAUCACCUUCAAGACUGCUCUUGAGACGUCAGGUACCAAAGGAGAUCCUUUUGGAAAUGCCUGCAAUAAAAGAUUAGAUGAUUGAGUAAACAACAAAUCAUUCUAAAUAUAUGUUAACAGUGUCUGAAACAUCAGUGGAGUGUACAAUCUUACAAACCCAAAACCGGCAGCCUUGUAUGUCUGGCCGACCAUAACAUACUUCCUGCAGUACUUGUUGAGGAAGAGUCUGAGAUAAGGUAGUUCAUCAACAAUUGCACCUACACCUCCAUUUUUGCUUCCUCUUGAGAGGGCUUCAUCAUAUUCUUUCAAUGUGAUAUAACUUCUGAACUUGGAGCUGUCAAAUUUCAUGCGCUUUAUGAAGACAUCUUUGACAAAGGAACCUUCUUGGUACCCAACAUAUUCUCCAUUCUUGAUGAGAUCAUUGAGGUCUGUUAUAGUAGGUUGGAGCUGUUGCAGUGUCAACAUAGAUGUUAAGCUGGCUGUAUAACUUGAUGUCAGCACCAGAACCACAAAAACCCACACAAUCAGCAAAAAUCUUGUUAAGUUACUUGUUACCCUCUCUCCUGCAACAACCAGCCAUAACAUAUUCUCCAUUCUUGAUGAGAUCAUUGAGGUCUGUUAUAGUAGGUUGAAGCUGUUGCACUGUUAACAUAGAUGUUAAGCUGGCUGUAUAACUUGAUGUCAGCACCAGAACCACAAAAACCCACACAAUCAGCAAAAAUCUUGUUAAGUUACUUGUUACCCUCUCGGCUCGCUAAAAUGGUCACAUCACCUACAACUGCAUCAUAGUCCUGGCUCAAGCAAACAUUGAUUAUUCCAGUAUGUAUAGUUGAUUGUAAUAGCAGAAAAUAGAUAUCGAAGUCCCAAAAAGGACCAUGUUAGUAAGAUAUAGAGCCAAAGAGGUUUAUUGGAACAGAGAUUAUAUAUUACCUGAGAAGUGAUCUUGUGAACAAGAUCAUCAUAGUAUGGAAGAGUGAGGGGAUCUUGUAUUGGAGAUGGAAUAAAUUCGUAAGGGAGAGCAUAUGGCAAAGAUAGGAUGACUUCUUUGAAGACAUCUGCACAGAAACCAGUUGCUGUUACUGCUUGUGUUUUUGAAUCUCUUUCCACUUUAAUGAGUUGCUCCAGCCCUCCUUUGAGAGGAACUCCAACCCUUAACUUCUUCCCACUUGUGGGCAUUUCCCAGCCUCUUGGAACAAUAGUUGAUUCACCAGGCCAAAAAAUGGUUCCUAGUUGCUCAUUAUUACACUUAACUGCUGUUUUACCACUGUUUUACUAUUCAUCUUCAGUUUAUGCGAAAUGCCAUCCUUCUCUGUCCAGAAUCCAACGCUUCUCUCUCCUUUCCCAAUUAUAUUCACAAUCUGAUAUGGGAUUGGCUGCAGUUCUCCAUUGAUGAUACGGAAAUCACCACUUAAUCCUUGUUUUAGCACUGUGUUUCGCAUAGAGUCAAUGAGCAGAGAUCCCACUGCUGACGUUCCAAGUGCAUCUAAGUCUGUUAAGUUCUCUCUGGUGUCUGGUUUCUUUAAUUUUGGGAUAGCAGUAGUGCCCACUUUAUCUAUUGCUUCUGCUAAUGAGGUGAUGCUAUCGUAUGCCCAUAGCCCGAAAACAUUGAGUUCUAUUUGGUCCAUGUCUGGAUACUCUUGACGGAAUCUCUUUCUCCAUCUUUUCGUGUAAUUGUUAAGCUGAUUUGAUCUUGGAAUAUAAGGUUUUAUACCAAGAACACCUUGCAUUGAUGACUCAAUGACUGAAUGAUCUACUGAGUCCAGAAGACUCGUUAGCACAUCUGUGAUGAUCCAUGCAUAUCCACUGCUCAUCAUCCCGGCUUCUUUGGCCUUGAGAAAAAGGCGGGAGGCAAGAUAUGGUCGCAAGUGCACGACGAACACCCUGGUCUGCUUUGUAUUCAUAUUGUAUAACUCCUUGAGAAUUUGAUCAUCAUUGGCUGACGGAGAAAUAACACUUCUAUAGGAGACUAAAGUGCUGAUUUCCAGUAAGGCAUCAGUCAAAUGUGGAACUAUCCCGAACCCAUAGGGGCUAUCCUCAUAGAUGACCACAACCUCUCUCCAAUCAAAUUUUUUAACAAGUGCUGCAAUGGCCUUAGUCUGGCUGGAAGAAGGCAGUGCUGCUCUGAUGAAGAAGGGAUUUUCCUUGACUGUAAGUAAAGGACUUGUUGCUGGAGAAAUUAUAGGGACUUUUGUUCUGUUCCCUAAGUCAAUCACAAAAUCAGUUUGUGUUGACAUUUGUGGCCCAAAAAUAGCUUGUACUUGGACAUCCUUUAGCAAGUAUAUGGCUGCACAUACACAAUCAGACAAUAAGAAUUUACCCAAAGUAAGAGUUUAAUAGAAGUGAAUCAUGGAACUGAAUUUACCAGCAGAUGUUGCUUCAACAUCAUCUUUCUUGGAAUCCUUGAUAUGAGGAACUAUCCUUAUGGCACCGCGACUAGUGUUGGCAUGAUAAUCUUCAAGUGCUAGUAAGAUAGAUAUGUGCAUUACUUUUCCCUACAUCUGUUUCCUAGAUCAAGAAUUAUACCCACAUCCACCUUUACAGCACUAGUGUUAUUAUCUUCACCUCUUAUUGGAAUUACAUAGUGGUAAAAGCUAAUGAUGGAGAUAAGUUGAAUGAAAAGAAUUAGAAAGUGGCAUCUUGGAUUAUGCAUUUGAAAAAACUCUGGUAGCAAGUAGUCUGAGAGAUGGGCAACAAGCAGUUGUGCUUGUGCAAGAUAACCACACAUUCAGAAUGAUAAAUUUUCCUAUAAUUAAUAAGACCAAACUCCAUAAAUGCAGAAACAAAAGUCAAAGAACAAAUGGUUGAAAAUCAAGUAUUCGUUUGAUUAUUGAAAGUGAGGACUUUUCACAUAUGCUACAACCGCACAGCUAGUAAGCAUACUACCCCUCAGUUUUGACUAAAUAAAAAAUUGGCAAAAUUGAUUGGUACUCAUUCCCCCAAUACCCAAUAACUUUUUGUGUGUACUAUCUAGAGGAUAUAUUCAAGGGAACUUACAUGAAUUCAACUAAUUUAGAAGUUAAUUACUUGAAUACAUUGUAGUUUGCAAUAUUACGUAUUUUACUAGAUUUUGGUAUGUCCAGAUACAUAUAUGUGAGGUUACUUAGAAUCAAAAUUAGGUGUAAUUUGCUCUAGAUGCAUUGUAUCUAAGUGACUUUGCAUGUAUCUGGGAUACAUAACAAAUCUCGCUCGCCUCUCUCCCAUCUCUCACUCUCCUAUGUAUCUGAUAUUCCAUAUACAUGUGAAUCACACCAGAUACAUACACAUAAAUGUAUCUUAUGUGUAUAUAGUGUGAUUCGCAUGUAUCUGGGAUACAUAACAAAUCCCGCUUGCCUCUUUUCUCAUCUCGUUCCCCUAUCUCCCUAUUUUUGUGUAUCUAAUGGCAAAAAUACAUGUAGCCAAAUGUAUUUUCCUCAAUAUAUGAUAGGAAACUCUUAAUUAGUGAUAGUAUACGAAAUAUUUUAAAAGUAUAGAAUAUAAUAGUAUAUAUGAUAGUGAAGUAUGUCUAAUGAUAUAGUUUUUCUGUAUUGAAAGGACUUCCCAAAUUUUGGCUGAGGCAUAAAAAGUUGACAAAUUUAGCUCAGUUACAAAUUCCACAAUUAAACCAAUAAGUAGAAGAGACCAUUGUUUUCCAACUUGGACAAGGCUAGAUACGACUAGUAAUCUUUAGUUUACGCUUUUUCGGUUACUAGUUUUUGGACACGUGCGUUGCACGUAUAUCCCAUAUUAUAUGGUUGCAUAAUAUAUGUCUAUAGUUACAAAUAUAUGUAUAAAAAAAAAUUGAUUGUGAUAUAAAUUGGAAAACAUGUAUAAGAUAAGAAAUCAAAACAGAUACCCUCAAAUUUCAAACUAUAAGCAUAAUAAGAAUAUGUAUUUCUAAUGAGUUUAAUCAAUCAUACCUUGCAAUAAUCUCUGCAAUUCAUUGAGAAACUUUCAAUCCAUACAUCAACAUUCAAUCGUGUAUAUAUAAAGAAAACUUGAAAUGCAUAACAACAAUUAUAUCUAUAUUUUUUAAAACACUAUAAAGUCAUUUUUUCUUUUUGCAUUAUAAUAUGGAUUGCACACAAUUUCUAUUAAAAAAAAGAAAGACAAAAUUAGGAAAAAUCGUAUCAAUAAAUUGGAAUGAAAAAUGUAAAAUUGUAAUAAGAGGAAGAGAAGAAAAAUCAGUAGAAUAUAUUUACCUAACCAUGAAUAAGGAAGUAUGUUGAGUAAAAGAAGAGUAAUGCAAAAGUGUGANNNNNNNNNNNNNNNNNNNNNNNNNNNNNNNNNNNNNNNNNNNGUAUGUGUAGUUAAUGGGGUAGUGAAAAAGACUCUUUCUGAAAUUAUUUUUAUCUCUUUAAAGUAAUUUUGAAAUUUUAAUAUUAGUGCUAUAGAAAAUCAUAUAAAGUCAUAAGCCACUGCAAGUUUUUAUAGUAAUUAUCUUAUUAAAUUAUAUACCUAUUAUUUAUUUUUAAUUAUUUAUAAUCAUUCCGAAAAUGUAUAAAUUAAUUUUGAAAAGCUUGUAAAAUGAGAAAUUAUUAUUUCUUAUCAUUAUUUUAGCUAUUAUUAACAUUUAGUAUGACAACAUUUUAAAAAAGCACCUUCCUUUAAAUAUUAAUUGUUUCUUAAUUAACGUAGCCAAGAAUUUAAAUUGUUGUGACGUUUUGUUUAUCUAAACACGCAGAAUUUUGUUUUUGAACCUGGAACAUGUAAUUAAGCCUUGGGUGAAUUAUAAUUUUAUUUUUACUAUUUAAUUAAUUAAAUAAUUUAUAACAUUUUAAUAUAAUGAAGGGGUAAAAUGGUAAUUCAACUUUAAAGGUUGGAGCUUCCCACUUUUAGUAAUAUAUAUGAUAAAUUGGUCAGUAGUAGAACCUAGUUUAAUUUGAUACGGAGUUAAAGAAAAUAAACAUGACUUUUCAAUCUUGUGGUCUUAAAUUAAAGUUAUGUUAAAUAUACCAAAAUGGUUUUUAAUCUUAUGACUUUAAACAUGUCACGUAAAAAGCUGAAAUUAAAGUGUUGCCAAAAAAAGAAGGGUCAUUUUUUUUAAACAGACUAAACAGAAAAGUAGAUCAUUCUUUUUAAAACGGAAGGGAAGUAAUUGUUAAUGCAAGAGGAAGCUGCUUGAGAAGUUACGUAUAUGAUGUUGAAGUUGUCAAACAUGCAAUGCUGGUCCUAUAAUCUUUCAUUAUUUAUUAUCCAUGACUAUGGGUGGAUAAUAAUAGUUAUCUGCUAUGAUCAUAUAUACCUAGGGGUGGACAUAUUACUUAGAAAACUUAUGUUAGGUAAUUUUGAUUUCUAAAAAUACUAUAUGGUGUAUGCUAUUUGCAGAUGAUAGUCCUAAUCGACCAGACUCGUAAUAGAGUUAAUGUUAAGCUAGAGAAGAUAAUAAUGGCUCCUUUCUCAAAUAUUUCAUUGGUAGAAAUUUGUCUUCCAGAAUUUCAUAAUUGCAUCUGGUCCUUUCUGAUAACUCACAGGGCUUCUUAAAUUGGUGCGGAAGUUUAAUUUUGACAUGGAACGCAAAUAUAUGCUGAAAAUUAGUAAUUCAAUAAAUAUUUAAUUUUGAAUGCAUAUUACAAAAGUGCAAGGAAUUCAAUUGUAAGAUGUUGAAGGUUAAACCCAUAAAUUCUAUAUACUAAAGACGCCUCUUAAUGCAAAUAUAAUAUGGUUUAACUAUUUUAAACCUGGCUUAUCUCUCUUAAGUUAUCCCUGUAAUGUUUUCAUGAACUGGAGUUCCAGGUUCUGUUGUAGAGAACCCUUCAAGUGCAGGGGAUGCUCCUAAGCCGUCGGAAAUUCUGAUUUCUGGGCUUUGCAAAGGAAG
rnacentral:lncRNA from 1 species